GUAGGGAAUAUUGGGCAAUGGUCGGAAGACUGACCCAGCCAUGCCGCGUGCAGGAAGACGGCCCUCUGGGUUGUAAACUGCUUUUAUCUGGGAAGAAAAAGGCCAUGCGUGGCAAAUUGCCGGUACCAGAUGAAUAAGCACCGGCUAACUCCGUGCCAGCAGCCGCGGUAAUACGGAGGGUGCGAGCGUUGUCCGGAUUUAUUGGGUUUAAAGGGUGCGUAGGCGGCUGAUUAAGUCAGCGGUGAAAGACUUCGGCUUAACCGGAGAAGUGCCGUUGAUACUGGUUGGCUUGAGUGUCGGAGGGGUACAUGGAAUUGAUGGUGUAGCGGUGAAAUGCAUAGAUACCAUCAGGAACACCGAUAGCGAAGGCAUUGUACUGGCCGACAACUGACGCUGAUGCACGAAAGUGUGGGGAUCGAACAGGAUUAGAAACCCCUGUAGUCC
rnacentral:rRNA from 1 species